UGCCCCGUACAUUACUUACUAAAAGAUAAAGAAGGAAAUCUGAAAGUGCUUUGUUACCCCUAAUGCACUAAGCCUGUACAAAAUAUUAGUGUGAGUUUAUUUAAUAAUAUUAAAGUCAUGAGAACCUGUCAUAUUUUUAAAGUUUGCACUUUAAACAAAGUUUUCAUUGUAGGUAAUGCUUUCUCUUUCAUUCCAUGAUAUUAUUUUGGCAUGAUCACAUUCUAUCAUUUUCUCAAAAGUUUUAAAAACUGAAAUAAAAUUAAAAGGAAUAGUUUCCUUCAUACCUAUGAACAAGCUUUCAGGUUUUAUUAAAACCUGGUGGAGGAAAUAAGAAAUGACCUGAAUCUUAACCCAUAUAUUAUACAAAAUUCACAUGAUCCUUCAUUUCCAAUUUUUUAUUCCAUUACGGGACUCUUUUUUGGAUGGUGGAGAUGGUUUUUUAAUGAAGUCCAACAGUCUGUCAGAGUGAGUCUGGCAGAAUUUUUAGCUCCUGAGCUAAAUUUGUAAUAGAACCAUGGCCAUGCUGCUGACUUUGAUAUGUAUGACUCAGUCUCUCAAUGCAUUGUGUUCAAAGGAUUGUCAAAGACAUGACUUCAUAGCAAUAUGUUAAAAAUAUAAGAAAAUCAGCAGAUUGAGUGUUAAACAUUGCAAAAUCAAUUUUUUACCUAUUUCCAACGGUUUCACAUUUUGCAGGAACUUGUUCUUUGCAAAGAUACCUGAAUUUGAAACCAACAGAUAUCAAAAGAGAAUACAUAUUAGCAAAAUUCUGAUAUCACCAUAAAGCAUUACUUUACAUUUAGAGAUUCCUUUUAAGAUAACAUCAUUAUACACAAAGAAAAAAAUAUUUAUAACUUUUCUCUGGAAGUUCUGUAUAUAGUGUAUAUAUCUAGAAAAAAAUCUGAACAAGUAGAUUUCAUAUGACCAUUGUUAUUUCAGGUCAAAAAGUGGGGGAACACUUCCUCCAAUACCUGUAUUUUAUGCAACAUGUAAUGGAGUUGUACCUUUUUAUUACUUAGUAAUUCCUAGAAUAUGUUCCUAUAGUUUUCAUUUUCAAGAUGAUUAAUCUCUUGUUUCAUGGUGUUUCUAGAAAUAUAUCUCCAUGAGAUAUGUACUUUGUUUCAUAUUGAAAAGUAUGACAUUUACCUUUAAAUUCCUGUGUGUGUAUCC
rnacentral:lncRNA from 1 species